GACUCUGGGAUAAGCGUUGGAAACGACGUCUAAUACCGGAUACGAGCUUCCACCGCAUGGUGAGUUGCUGGAAAGAAUUUUGGUCAAGGAUGGACUCGCGGCCUAUCAGCUUGUUGGUGAGGUAAUGGCUCACCAAGGCGACGACGGGUAGCCGGCCUGAGAGGGUGACCGGCCACACUGGGACUGAGACACGGCCCAGACUCCUACGGGAGGCAGCAGUGGGGAAUAUUGCACAAUGGGCGAAAGCCUGAUGCAGCAACGCCGCGUGAGGGACGACGGCCUUCGGGUUGUAAACCUCUUUUAGCAGGGAAGAAGCGAAAGUGACGGUACCUGCAGAAAAAGCACCGGCUAACUACGUGCCAGCAGCCGCGGUAAUACGUAGGGUGCAAGCGUUGUCCGGAAUUAUUGGGCGUAAAGAGCUCGUAGGCGGUUUGUCGCGUCUGCUGUGAAAUCCCGAGGCUCAACCUCGGGUCUGCAGUGGGUACGGGCAGACUAGAGUGCGGUAGGGGAGAUUGGAAUUCCUGGUGUAGCGGUGGAAUGCGCAGAUAUCAGGAGGAACACCGAUGGCGAAGGCAGAUCUCUGGGCCGCUACUGACGCUGAGGAGCGAAAGGGUGGGGAGCAAACAGGCUUAGAUACCCUGGUAGUCCACCCCGUAAACGUUGGGCGCUAGAUG
rnacentral:rRNA from 1 species